AUUGAACGCUGGCGGCAGGCCUAACACAUGCAAGUCGAGCGAGCGGCGGACGGGUGAGUAAUGUCUGGGAAACUGCCUGAUGGAGGGGGAUAACUACUGGAAACGGUAGCUAAUACCGCAUACCAUCAGCUGUGCCCAGAUGGGAUUAGCUAGUAGGGCGGGUAAUGGCUCACCUAGGCGACGAUCCAUAGCUGGGCGGAGAGGAGGACCAGCCACACUGGAACUGAGACACGGUCCAGACUCCUACGGGAGGCAGCAGUGGGGAAGCUUGGACAAUGGGCGCAAGCCUGAUGCAGCCAUGCCGCGUGGGUGAAGAAGGCUUUCGGGUUGUAAAGCUCUUUCAGCGGGGAGGCGGUACCCGAAGAAGAAGCACCGGCUAACUCCGUGCCAGCAGCCGCGGUAAUAC
rnacentral:rRNA from 1 species